rnacentral:rRNA from 1 species
GACGAACGCUGGCGGCGUGCUUAACACAUGCAAGUCGAACGGUAAGGCCCUUCGGGGCACACGAGUGGCGAACGGGUGAGUAACACGUGGGUGAUCUGCCCUGCACUUCGGGAUAAGCCUGGGAAACCGGGUCUAAUACCGGAUAGGACUCCGGACUGCAUGGUCUGGGGUGGAAAGCUUUUGCGGUGUGGGAUGGGCCCGCGGCCUAUCAGCUUGUUGGUGGGGUGAUGGCCUACCAAGGCGACGACGUGUAGCCGGCCUGAUAGUGUGACCGGCCACAGUGGGAAUGAGAUACGGCCCAGAUUACUGCGGGAGGCAGCAGUGGGUAAUUUUGCACAUUGGGCGCAAGCCUGAUGCAGCGACGCCGCGUGAGGGAUGACGGCCUUCGGGUUGUAAACCUCUUUCAGCACCGACGAAGCGCAAGUGACGGUAGGUGCAGAAGAAGGACCGGCCAACUACGUGCCAGCCGCCGCGGUAA